rnacentral:sRNA from 1 species
UGAAAUCAGUAAGAACAAGAUCCAAUAU